rnacentral:rRNA from 1 species
UUGAUCUGAAAUCAGG